rnacentral:rRNA from 1 species
AGCGAACGCUGGCGGUAGGCCUAACACAUGCAAGUCGAACGGCAGCUCAGUAAGAGCUUGCUCUUACGGGUGUCGAGUGUCGGACGGGUGAGGAAGACUCCGGAUUCUACCUUUUCGUGGGGGAUAACGUAGGGAAACUUACUCGAAUACCGCAUACGACCUCCUGGUGAAAGCCGGGGAUCUUCUGACCUGGCGCGAUGGAAUGAGCCGAUGUCGGAUUAGCUAGGUGGCGGGGUAAAGGCCCACCCAGGCGACGAUCCGUAGCUGGUCUGAGAGGGUGAUCAGAUAGACUGGAACUGAGAAACGGCCCAGACUCCGACACUAGGACGCAGCCGGGACUAUUGGAGAAUGGGCGAGAGCCUGAUCUUGCAAUACCGCGUGAGUGAAGAAGGCGUAAGGGUUGUAAAGCCAUUAAGUUCGGAGAGAAGUGAAGCAGGUUAAUACCCCACUGUUAUGACGGUACCGAAAGAAUAAGCACCGGCUAACUUCGUG